rnacentral:rRNA from 1 species
UACGAAGGGGGCUAGCGUUGCUCGGAAUUACUGGGCGUAAAGGGCGCGUAGGCGGCUAGUUUAGUCAGAGGUGAAAGCCCAGGGCUCAACCUUGGAAUUGCCUUUGAUACUGGCUGUCUUGAGUUCGGGAGAGGUGAGUGGAAUGCCGAGUGUAGAGGUGAAAUUCGUAGAUAUUCGGCGGAACACCAGUGGCGAAGGCGACUCACUGGCCCGAUACUGACGCUGAGGCGCGAAAGCGUGGGGAGCAAACAGG